UACGUAGGGGGCAAGCGUUGUCCGGAAUCAUUGGGCGUAAAGAGCGUGUAGGCGGCCUGGUAAGUCCGCUGUGAAAGUCCAGGGCUCAACCCUGGAAUGCCGGUGGAAACUGUCAGGCUCGAGUCCGGAAGAGGCGAGUGGAAUUCCUGGUGUAGCGGUGAAAUGCGUAGAUAUCGAGAGGAACACCAGCGGCGAAGGCGGCUCACUGGGCACCACCUGACGCUGAGGCGCGAAAGCGUGGGGAGCGAACCGG
rnacentral:rRNA from 1 species